AUUGAACGCUGGCGGCAGGCCUAACACAUGCAAGUCGAGCGGCUGAAGGGAGCUUGCUCUUGGAUUCAGCGGCGGACGGGUGAGUAAUGCCUCGGAAUCUGCCUGGUAGUGGGGGAUAACGUCCGGAAACGGGCGUUAAUACCGCAUACGUCCUGAGGGAGAAAGUGGGGGAUCUUCGGACCUCACGCUAUUGGAUCGGCCUAGGUCGGAUUAGCUAGUUGGUGGGGUAAAGGCCUACCAAGGCGACGAUCCGUAGCUGGUCUGAGAGGAUGAUCAGUCACACUGGGACGGAGACACGGCCAAGACUCGUACGGGAGGAAGCAGUGGGGAAUUUUGGACAAUGGGCGAAAGACUGAUCCAGCAAUGCCGCGUGUGUGAUGAAGGCAUUCGGGUUGUAAAGCACUUUUGGCGGGAAAGAAAAGGACUGUGCCAAUACCACGGUUCGAUGACGGUACCCGAAGAAUAAGCACCGGCUAACUACGUG
rnacentral:rRNA from 1 species